UUUCGUGUACCCUGACGAGGCGGCGACGACCCAGGCCCAACAAGGAGGCGAGGGCAAGUGACCUAAGGAGAAGCCAGAUGCGCCGCCCGCCGCCAAACCACCAGGCACCAAUCCAAGCCUUCUCCAGGUCACCGGCUUGCCAUCGGACAUCGCCUGGACUCCUCAUCACCUCGUCGCCUUUGCCGGGUGUCGGGUCAUCGCAUCGGACGGCACGUCGCAGGCGCCGGCGAGGGGCUGGGGCGGGGCUGCAAUGGGAAGGAGAGGCUGAGUCAGCGGAGCGCAGGGAGGAAAAAAAUCGCCGGCGCGCGGAGGGAGAAGAAAUUUCGGCGGCGCGCGAACGGAGUAAAGCAGCAGAGGUCAGAGGAGGAUUAGUUUGCUUCCCAAUCGUACCCCCGUACGAUGGAGGGAUGGAUUUAAUCCUGUAUCAUCCGGUACUUGGUAUCCCCGGUACGACAUGCUGGACGGGAGCAAACCUCCAAAAAAAUUCGACUGAUGAAUGGUAUAGCUGUCAACUGAUAAUAAAAGAACUAAACACAAGCACUGAAACGCACCAUUUCUUCAUGACACA